UUGGUGCCUACAUUUAAUUGCAAAUAGAAGCAAUAAGAUACAAUAGCGAAAUAAGAACAAGAACUUUCUCAUCAAUUGGGGAUUUCAUUCAGAACAUAAAGAUAUAAAAUGCAGUUACUAGAUUAGAUACUUGCACAAAUUUGAUUUCAUAUAUUUUCUAAAAGAAACUGCAAACAACAAGCUUUGAAAUCUAAAAUUAUCUAAAACUUCCUUGUCAGAUCUACCCUGAACAGGAGAAAAAGAAGAAGAAACAAUGAUAACUGAUUAGUGGCUAUGUGUUCUUAUGAUCCAUAGGCUGCUUGGUAGAAACUGAAAUGCAUUUCACAAGACAGCCAAUUGGCCAAGACAGAACUGCAAUGGCAAUGCAAGCACCCCACUGCAGUAAUUAGAUUCACUUAAUUCCAUAUAUACUCCAAAAGAAACAGCUAACAAUUGAAAGCUCUCAAAAUUAUAAUUAUCUAAACAUUCCUUGUUAGAUCUACCAUAUGCAGGAAAAGCAAAAUGAAUAAGUAGAAGGAUAACUGAUUAGUGGCUUUGUGUCCGCUUGCAAGAAACUGGAAUGCACUUCACUAGACAACCAAUUGGCCAAGAAAGAACUGCAAUGGCAAUGCAGGCACCCCACUGCUGCCAAUUCAACCUCUCAGUGCUGGCAAACUUCUUCAGAAGCUCCACCAUCAGCACUUGAAGAGUUAUGAGGACAAAGGUGUUGAAGAUGAGGGUAUUCUUAACUUCCUCAUCCACACCAAAUAUCGCUUUUCCCUUGAACUGUAGAGUCAGUAAGAUGGUGACCUGAUACAGGGCCUGAGCAAGGAGGUUCCUCCACAUGAUUUUGGUGAUAAGUGGAUCUGAUCGACCCACAGGUGGCCUUGUCAUGAGAUCAUUCGUGGGUUGUUCAGUGGCCAAGGCUAGUGCUCCCAAGGUGUCCAUUAUGAGAUUAACCCACAGCAGCUGGACUGCAGUCAGAGGGAUUUUUCCAGAAGAAACAGCUGCAACGAAGUUGAUGACAAGGGCAGCAACAUUGACAGUGAGCUGAAAUUGAAUGAACUUCUGAAUAUUGUUGUAGACACACCUUCCCCACCUCAACACAGUCACCACAGAAGUGAAGUUAUCAUCCAAUAUGACAAUGUCUGAGCUUUCCUUUGCCACCUCAGUCCCUUGAAUUCCCAUGGAGAGCCCAAUAUCUGCUUCCUUUAGAGCGGGGGCAUCAUUUGUGCCAUCACCAGUGACUGCUACCACGUGACCUUUCUUCUUUAAACACUGUACCAUGAGAAGCUUGUCGAAUGGGGAUGAUCUUGCCAUAACCUGGAUAUUAUCAAUCUUGUCCAUCCUCUCUUCAGAUUAUUGUGGCUGAACCCAUUGUUUCACAAGCAGAGAGCUUACGGACCAUGGCGUUAUCUUUCAUCAUUUUUUUCAUAGAGUAAGCCAGAGUUAGGGUUACAGCUAGAGGGAGACCUUCUGGAAUUGCCACCACGACAAUGGUCACUGCUGCAGCAAUAAUGCUCACAACUGAAUCCAGUACAUCACUGACCUUUGUCUUGCUCCCAUAGUAUUCUUUCCGACCAUUAUCAUCUCUAGUAUUUCCUGUGAAGUACCUUAUCAUCAUAACGGCAAGCACAAGAAUGGCGACUGUCAAUCCAACCUUCCCAAUAUAAGAAGUGAGCUUGUUGAGGCGAGCUUGCAAUGGAGUUUGCUCAUCCAAAUCACGACUUAUCGAACUCAUCAUCUCUCCCCAUGCUGUAUUCAUGCCAACAGAUGUGACAAGCAUGAAGCCAAAGCCAUCAGUCACCUUUGUACCAGAGAGCAAGAAAGGGUUUUCGCUUCCAUUCACCUCAACGUGGUCGCUUUCUCCGGUCAUGCUAGAUUCGUCCACCUUCAAAGAAUACCCAUGCAAGAAUAACCCAUCAGCAGGUAUUUGGUCUCCAAUCUUCAAAGACACCACAUCACCCGCCACCACAUCAAAAAUAGAUAUAUGAUUGUGCCUCCCAUCUCUCACUACUUGCACAGUUAUGUCGCGGCUCACAUCAGAUAACUUCUCAAAUUGUUUGGAUUGCUUGAAGUUGCUGAUAGCAGAGACCGCAAUAACUAGAACAACUGCGACAAUAAUGCUUCCUCCAUCAUACCACCCAUUUUUCAGGCCAUCCUGUUUGAUACCGAAUACCAAGGACAUAAUAGCGCAGACCAAAAGAAUGAUAAUGGUCGGGUCCUUGCAUGCUUCGAGAACAAAGCUUAGAAAGCUUUUUGAAGGAGGCUUAUUAAACCUGUUUGCACCAAAAACAUCCCUUCUAAACGCAGCAUCAGCCUCCCUUGUACCAUCCUUCACAUCAGUUUCUAGAAUUGUGGCAACUUGUAUAACUCCUCCCUGUUGGUUCAAAGAUUCAAGGUUCUUUUCUUUUAUAA